rnacentral:lncRNA from 1 species
CUCUGCCCAGAGCCCGUGGUCGCCCCUCGGCCCAGAGACCCGGGGACCUGCCCAGAGAGGAGCCGACCAGGGGGAGACCCCCUUCCCGCCCCCCAUCUCGGGCGCCGCCCUCCGGCCCCAGAGCCUGGACCAGGACCUCCGGGGACACCGAGGCGGGGGCCCCCCCAGCAUCUCGGUGCCGCUGACCUGCAGACCAGAAGGCCUGGACUCAGCUGGUCCCAGCCUGCGACCUGCUCCCCACCCAGCGUAGCACUUCCUCCCUGAACACGUAGCACUGUCAGCCUUUAGAGCUGGGUCACUGGUGAGACUGUCCUGGCAGUAUACUGGAAUUUAUUCUAAUGAAUAUAAAUUUUUUUGAAUCCAGUAAAAAAAAAUUUUUUUCAAGUUGAAAAACUUGAAACACUAUACCCACCAAUCAACAAAUCCUCACUCUGCUUUCCUCCCAUCUCCCAGCAACCACACUUCUCUUUCUCUCCUUCUUUUCUUUUUUUUUGAACCCCACGGCAUAUACAGGUUCCCAGGCUAACUCGGAACUGUAGCUGCUGGUCUACACGGCAGCCACAGGGAUGCAGGAUCCGAGCCAUGUCUGCAACCUACACCACAGCUCUAGCCAUUGCCGGAUCCUUCACCCACUGAGCGAGGGCAGGGAUCACCCUUCAAAACCCUCCUCUCUGAGGUCCUCCCAGUAACACACACAACUCCAUCUGGCCACUGGCUCGGGACAAACACAUCCGCCUCAUCUUGGCUCCUCUUUUCCCACACGUACCACACCCGCUGGAAAUCUCAGUGGCCUUGACCUUCGCUGUAGAUCCCAAAGAGAUGCUCCCCGGCUCCACGACCUCCCUGGCCCGCGGCACCAGCCCCUCCCGCCUGGGGAGCCCAGCAGGGCCUGGUCACAGCUCUGUUGUUGCUGCUGGAUCCCCGCUGGCUGAUUCUGAGCAGAACCCCAGCCACUGGGAUCCUGCUAAGGCUUCCAGAAGUUUGCACUGGCUGCCAGUGGUCUUCCACGGGGGCAGCAACGUCCUCCCAGCUUCUCCCCAGUCCCUCGGCCUCUGCACCCCGACAUGUCACAGGCUCCUUUCCUCCUGUGACUUUCCCUCCAACGUGGGUCAACAGCUGACGUGCCCUCAUUGUAUUUAUAAUUUAUCCAAACCGUCUUGUGCCCGUAAGGACAGCACCUCAAGGACCAGAAGCCCUUCUCGUUCCCUGAAUUGGAGAACCACAGCCAUAAGACACAACGUGACUCGUCCCGCUUUCCACGCGCCACUUCCAUGGUGCUAAGUGCAUUCACCACGUGAAGCCACCGUCACCACCGCCUGUGUCCAGAACGUGUGCAGCAUCCCAGCAGGAAGUCUCCACUGUGAGACAGAGACUGCUUGGCACCCCCACCCCCCAGCUGCAAGCACGCCGUCUACUUUCUCCUCCCAUGGGUUUGCCCUGUGGGUAGCUCCUAGGAGCCGAAUCCUACAAUCCUUGUCCCGUGGGGUCUGGCUUCCUUCAUGGAGCGGAUUGUUGUCUCGGGUCCUUCAGGCUGGAGCCCGUGUCAGAACUGCAUGUGUUCCUUUGUACGGCUGAGGGUAUUGGCUUGUGUGUGUCUCCCGGGCUUGGCUCCCCCACUCUUCUGCUGAUGGGCACUAGGGUUGGUUCUGCCGCUGCAGUGAAGUUGGCUGCUAUGAACACGUGGGGUGCAAAUAUCGGUUUGAGCCCAUGCGGUCAAUCCCUAGGAGAGGGGCGCAGGGUCUUGUGGUAAUUCUGUUGAAUUUGGGAGGCUCUUGAAAGCAUUUUGCAUGAGGCUGCACCAUCUUCUCUUCCCACAGGCAAUGCACAAGGGUUCUCAUUUGCCCACAUCUUCGCCAUCACUUGUUAGUUUCCAUUUUUGAUUUUUUUUUCUAAUGAGCCAACACCCAUGAAUUUGCCAUUAUGAACUCAUUCCCUUUUGUUUCCCUUUACUUUUUUUUUUUUUUGUCUUUUUGCCAUUUCUUGGGCCACUCUCGCGGCAUAUGGAGGUUCCCAGGCUAGGGGUCUAAUUGGAGCUGUAGCCACCAGCCUACACCAGAGCCACAGCAACUCGGGAUCUGAGCCCCGUCUGCGACCUACACCACAGCUCAGGGCAACGCCAGAUCUUUAACCCACUGAGCAAGGCCAGGGAUCGAACCCGCAACCUCAUGGUGCCUAGUCGGAUUCGUUAACCACUACGCCACCACGGGAACUCCCCAUUUUUGAUUUUUUAAAAACAUAUAACAGCUGUCCUAAUGGGUCCGAAGUGGUACUUUAUCAGUUUUUUUUUUCUUUUUUUAAUGACUGCACCCAGGGCAUAUGGAAGCUCCCGUACCAGGGACUGAAUCUGCCCUGCAGUGGCAACAGCAUAUCCUUUUAUCUACUGCUCCAGCCAGGGAUCGAACUGGAGCCUCCACAGCUGCUGCAGCUGGAUCCUUAACUUGCUGCACCAUAGCAAGAACUCAUUAGUUUUUUGUUUUUUUUUUUUUUUUUUUUCUUCCUAGGGCCACAUCCACAGCAUAUGGAGGUUCCCAGGCUAGGGGCUGAACUGAAGCUACAGCGGCCAGCCUACUGCACAGCCACAGCAAUGCAGGAUCCGAGCAGCGUCUGCGACCUAUACUACAGCUCACAGCAACACUGGAUCCUUAACCCACCGAGCGAGGCCAGGGAUAGAAACCACAAGCUCAUGGUUCCUAGUCGGAUUCGUUUCCACUGUGCCACGAUGGGAACUCCCUCAUUAAAGUUUUAAUUUGCAUUU